GCGGGGCGGGGCGGCGCUCUAGGCCGAGCGGGAGGUCGGGGCUGCGGGCGCUCGCUGGUGGCGGACCCGGAGGCUGCUGCGGCGCCGGGGCUCCGUGGCCUGGAUUGAAUCCGAUCGGGAGCCAUGAGCGUGGACAAAGCUGAGCUAUGCGGGUCUCUGCUCACCUGGUUACAGACGUUCCACGUUCCGUCUCCCUGUGCCAGCCCUCAGGACCUGAGCAGCGGCCUUGCCGUAGCCUAUGUGCUGAACCAGAUGUGAGUGGAGCUGAAGGGGAGGAUCCCAAAAGUGUCCCCCAGUCUGCUCAUCCCACCUUCUCGCCCCCAGAGACCCCUCCUGGUUCAACGAGGCAUGGCUCCAGGGCAUCUCGGAAGAUCCAGGUCCCAACUGGAAGCUGAAGGUGACAAGUGGACUCCUGAUUAGAGGACAGACUGGUGAAGAGAUGACCAGGGACGGGCCAGCUAGGCACAUGUCCUGGGUGAUGGGCAGGAAGAGGGACAGAUGUCUGGUGAUCAACCAUUUGUUCAUCCAUUCAUCUAUGGAGUACUCACCCUGUGCCAGGCCUGGGCAUUCAGCAAGGAAUAACACAGACAAAAACCUGCCCCACACAGCCAUCAUUCUAGUGACAAGCAACACAUACACAACCAUAAAAAUUAACUUCCAGGCUGGGCGCAGUGGCUCAUGCCUGUAAUCCCAACACUUUGAGAGGCUAAAGUGGGUGGAUCACCUGGGGCCAGGAGUUCAAGACCAGCCUGGCCAACAAGUUGAAACCCCAUCUCUACUAAAAAUACAAAAAUUAGCUGGGUGGGGUGGUGUGCACCUGUAAUCCCAGUUACUUGGGAGGCUGAGACAUGAGAAUCACUUGAACCUGGGAGGUGGAGGAUGCAGUGAGCUGAGAUUGAGCCAUUGCACUCCAGCCUGGGCAACAGAGCGAGACUCUUGUCUCAAGAAGAAGAAAAAAAGAAAAAGAAAAAGAAAAAGAAAAAACUUUUGAUGCCAGUAGUUCUGUGAAGACAACAAAAAAGCAGGGCUUUGAGAGAGAGCAAUGAGGGCAUAGGUGGCUGAUUACAUCAGAUGGGUUAAUCUCCAAGUGAAAUUUGGGGGAACGGUGUUCCAG
rnacentral:lncRNA from 1 species